ACUACCGGAGCUCGCAGCCCGCUCCUCCCUCCGCCAUUGCCGCUGUCGGCCACCACUCCACACCGGCCGCCCGGUGAACCUCUCCAUCUGUUCUUUUCCUCGCCAGAGUGCCUGUGGCCGCGGGUCCCCGGUGAACCUCUCCAUCUGUUCUUUUCCUCGCCAGAGUGCCUGUGGCCGCGGGUCCCCUAGUCCGGCCGUCGCCAGUGCUCUCCGCCUUCUCACAUCGCCGUCGUCUCAGCCUCUCCCUGGCGCUGCUGUGGCACUUGGUGGACGCGACCCGUCUCCCCGAGCCCGCGCAUGGCUUCUCCCUGGCCGGAGACCGCCGUCACCGGCCGGUCUGUCGCCGGCUGUGCGCCCUCCCCUGCCCUGCUCUGUUCUCUAUCGGGGCGCAGCGAGGCGCAAGAAGGAGCCAGGUUAGGCGGGCCCCUCCUCCCCAGCAACCCCACGUGUUAGCGAGUGGACCCCCAGACCACGUUAAAAACGUAUUCAGCCGGAGGCGCUUUCUGUUUCAACCUCCAAGGGCCUGUGUGUGAAUACAACUUUUACAAAUUGGUCCCUGUUCUUCAAACACUCGUAUCUCAGCAACCCUAACUCUAAAUGAGCCCCCUCCGAGAGGGAAUCUUUUCCGACGAAUCAUUCUGCGAAUUCACCGCACUUCUUCUUGGAGUAUUCUUCAUCCCCAGGCAAGCCACGGCAACCAUUUGCAUGAGAGCCUUGCAGUAGUAUUUGUUUUCUACUUGAACAAUAAAAUAUUUUGUGCAUGCUACUAUUUUGUGAGUGCUUUAUUUAUGCUUGUGAAUACAUGCUUAUCUUUAUGCCAUGAUCAUUUUCACCUAUUGGGUUAAAUGAGUACUUGCUAAUAUUAUCAUGCUCUAUUCUGGUAUUUAUUGUUGAUACUAGUGGUCAUGCCAUGCUCAUGUGUAGUGUUAUACUUGUGCUCGGUAUGCCAUGCUCAUCUUCAGCUAGUAGAGUAAAUAAUUUAUUGUU